GCGGGUGUGGUGCGCGGUGCACGGCUGCGCCAGGUUAGAGAGCAGUACCAACUUUGCAGCAGAUCCGGGUUCGACUCCCGGCGCCCGCC